GACGAACGCUGGCGGCGUGCUUAACACAUGCAAGUCGAGCGACGCUCUUCCUUCGGGGAGAUGACGGAGCGGCGAACGGGUGAGUAACACGUGGGCAACCUGCCCCUAGCUCUGGGACAACACCGGGAAACCGGUGCUAAUACCGGAUACGACAUCGAGCGGCAUCUCUCGAUGUGGAAAGUUUUUUCGGCUAGGGAUGGGCCCGCGGCCUAUCAGCUUGUUGGUGGGGUAAUGGCCCACCAAGGCGACGACGGGUAGCCGGCCUGAGAGGGCGACCGGCCACACGGGGACUGAGACACGGCCCAGACUCCUACGGGAGGCAGCAGUGGGGAAUAUUGCGCAAUGGGCGAAAGCCUGACGCAGCGACGCCGCGUGAGGGAUGACGGCCUUCGGGUUGGAAACCUCUUUCAGCAGGGACGAAUUCAGACGGUACCUGCAGAAGAAGCACCGGCCAACUACGUG
rnacentral:rRNA from 1 species